GACAGAGGCCUCAAGCGUUAGGCGGAAUCACUGGGCUUAAAGCGUGUGUAGGCGGAUCGUUAAGUGUCUCGUGAAAUCCCACGGCUCACCCGUGGAACUGCUGGGCAUACUGGCGAUCUUGGGCCAACUAGGGGCAACUGGAACAAGCGGUGGAGCGGUGAAAUGCGUAGAUAUCGCUUGGAACGCCAAAGGUGAAAACAGGUUGCUGGGGUUGUGCCGACGCUGAGACACGAAAGCCAGGGGAGCAAACGGG
rnacentral:rRNA from 1 species